GAUGAACGCUAGCGGAAUGCUUUACACAUGCAAGUCGAACGGCAGCACGGGUGCUUGCACCUGGUGGCGAGUGGCGAACGGGUGAGUAAUGCACCGGAACGUAUCCAAUAAUGGGGGAUAACGCACCGAAAGGUGUGCUAAUACCGCAUACGCCCUGAGGGGGAAAGCGGGGGAUCGUAAGACCUCGCGUUAAUGGAGCGGCCGAUGCCGGAUUAGCUAGUUGGUGAGGUAAAGGCUCACCAAGGCGACGAUCCGUAGCUGGUCUGAGAGGACGACCAGCCACACUGGAACUGAGACACGGUCCAGACUCCUACGGGAGGCAGCAGUGGGGAAUUUUGGACAAUGGGCGCAAGCCUGAUCCAGCCAUUCCGCGUGAGUGAAGAAGGCC
rnacentral:rRNA from 1 species